AAUCCAUAGGUUAAUGAGGCGAACCGGGGGAACUGAAACAUCUAAGUACCCCGAGGAAAAGAAAUCAACCGAGAUUCCCCCAGUAGCGGCGAGCGAACGGGGAGGAGCCCAGAGCCUGAAUCAGCAUGUGUGUUAGUGGAAGCGUCUGGAAAGGCGCGCGAUACAGGGUGACAGCCCCGUACACAAAAGCGCAUGUGCUGUGAGCUCGAUGAGUAGGGCGGGACACGUGGUAUCCUGUCUGAAUAUGGGGGGACCAUCCUCCAAGGCUAAAUACUCCUGACUGACCGAUAGUGAACCAGUACCGUGAGGGAAAGGCGAAAAGAACCCCGGCGAGGGGAGUGAAAAAGAACCUGAAACCGUGUACGUACAAGCAGUGGGAGCACAGGUUUACCUGUGUGACUGCGUACCUUUUGUAUAAUGGGUCAGCGACUUAUAUUCUGUAGCAAGGUUAACCGAAUAGGGGAGCCGGAGGGAAACCGAGUCUUAAUUGGGCGUUAAGUUGCAGGGUAUAGACCCGAAACCCGGUGAUCUAGCCAUGGGCAGGUUGAAGGUUGGGUAACACUAACUGGAGGACCGAACCGACUAAUGUUGAAAAAUUAGCGGAUGACCUGUGGCUGGGGGUGAAAGGCCAAUCAAACCGGGAGAUAGCUGGUUCUCCCCGAAAGCUAUUUAGGUAGCGCCUCGUGAAUUCAUCUCCGGGGGUAGAGCACUGUUUCGGCUAGGGGGCCAUCCCGGCUUACCAACCCGAUGCAAACUGCGAAUACCGGAGAAUGUUAUCACGGGAGACACACGGCGGGUGCUAACGUCCGUCGUGAAGAGGGAAACAACCCAGACCGCCAGCUAAGGUCCCAAAGUCAUGGUUAAGUGGGAAACGAUGUGGGAAGGCCCAGACAGCCAGGAUGUUGGCUUAGAAGCAGCCAUCAUUUAAAGAAAGCGUAAUAGCUCACUGGUCGAGUCGGCCUGCGCGGAAGAUGUAACGGGGCUAAACCAUGCACCGAAGCUGCGGCAGCGACACUGUGUGUUGUUGGGUAGGGGAGCGUUCUGUAAGCCUGUGAAGGUGUGUCGUGAGGCAUGCUGGAGGUAUCAGAAGUGCGAAUGCUGACAUAAGUAACGAUAAAGCGGGUGAAAAGCCCGCUCGCCGGAAGACCAAGGGUUCCUGUCCAACGUUAAUCGGGGCAGGGUGAGUCGACCCCUAAGGCGAGGCCGAAAGGCGUAGUCGAUGGGAAACGGGUUAAUAUUCCCGUACUUGGUGUUACUGCGAAGGGGGGACGGAGAAGGCUAUGUUGGCCGGGCGACGGUUGUCCCGGUUUAAGCGUGUAGGUGUGUGUUCCAGGUAAAUCCGGUUCACUUUAACACUGAGGCGUGACGACGAGGCACUACGGUGCUGAAGCAACAAAUGCCCUGCUUCCAGGAAAAGCCUCUAAGCAUCAGGUAACAUCAAAUCGUACCCCAAACCGACACAGGUGGUCAGGUAGAGAAUACCAAGGCGCUUGAGAGAACUCGGGUGAAGGAACUAGGCAAAAUGGUGCCGUAACUUCGGGAGAAGGCACGCUGACACGUAGGUGAAGUGAUUUACUCAUGGAGCUGAAGUCAGUCGAAGAUACCAGCUGGCUGCAACUGUUUAUUAAAAACACAGCACUGUGCAAACACGAAAGUGGACGUAUACGGUGUGACGCCUGCCCGGUGCCGGAAGGUUAAUUGAUGGGGUCAGCGCAAGCGAAGCUCCUGAUCGAAGCCCCGGUAAACGGCGGCCGUAACUAUAACGGUCCUAAGGUAGCGAAAUUCCUUGUCGGGUAAGUUCCGACCUGCACGAAUGGCGUAAUGAUGGCCAGGCUGUCUCCACCCGAGACUCAGUGAAAUUGAACUCGCUGUGAAGAUGCAGUGUACCCGCGGCAAGACGGAAAGACCCCGUGAACCUUUACUAUAGCUUGACACUGAACAUUGAGCCUUGAUGUGUAGGAUAGGUGGGAGGCUUUGAAGUGUGGACGCCAGUCUGCAUGGAGCCGACCUUGAAAUACCACCCUUUAAUGUUUGAUGUUCUAACGUGGACCCGUUACCCGGGUUGCGGACAGUGUCUGGUGGGUAGUUUGACUGGGGCGGUCUCCUCCUAAAGAGUAACGGAGGAGCACGAAGGUUGGCUAAUCCUGGUCGGACAUCAGGAGGUUAGUGCAAUGGCAUAAGCCAGCUUGACUGCGAGCGUGACGGCGCGAGCAGGUGCGAAAGCAGGUCAUAGUGAUCCGGUGGUUCUGAAUGGAAGGGCCAUCGCUCAACGGAUAAAAGGUACUCCGGGGAUAACAGGCUGAUACCGCCCAAGAGUUCAUAUCGACGGCGGUGUUUGGCACCUCGAUGUCGGCUCAUCACAUCCUGGGGCUGAAGUAGGUCCCAAGGGUAUGGCUGUUCGCCAUUUAAAGUGGUACGCGAGCUGGGUUUAGAACGUCGUGAGACAGUUCGGUCCCUAUCUGCCGUGGGCGCUGGAGAACUGAGGGGGGCUGCUCCUAGUACGAGAGGACCGGAGUGGACGCAUCACUGGUGUUCGGGUUGUCAUGCCAAUGGCACUGCCCGGUAGCUAAAUGCGGAAGAGAUAAGUGCUGAAAGCAUCUAAGCACGAAACUUGCCCCGAG
rnacentral:rRNA from 4 species